UUUUUAAGGAAGAGGAGGAUGGUUGCAGACCUUCGCAUUUAUGCAAGAAGGUAAACUAUUAACUAAACUGUUAACCAAUAUUUUAACCAUAAUUGUAUGUGGUGUAUUGGCAAGCAAUGCAUGUUCCCAUUGUCUUUAUUUGUAAUUAAUGUUAGCUCAUGUAUGUCUUUCGGUGGAAUACAACAUGCAUUGACAAUGGCCGAAAGCCACAUUGUGUCAGAUAUACUGAGUCAUGAGUUUGAAAUUGGUAGGCUUAUCCAAACAAUUCAUUCAUGUGCAAUUGUUACUUUGCAUGUUUUUACCUUAUACUUAUUUACUGCUUGCUAAUGAUUAGCGUGCUAGCUAGCGGUUAGCGUGCUAGUUUAGCAUAAUUGGUAAACAUGUCUUUGAUUCAGAAUACAUGAUUGUGGUUAACCCAAUGUUACAUGCAUUGGAAAAUAAUAUUGCCAGUGUAACUUGAAUUGGUUUACAAGCUAGCUAGAAAAGCCAGUUCCUUUUCAUCUGUUUUGUCAAGUCAUAAGCAUGCAUGUGUGCCGAAAUAUUUAAAUAAAUCCCCUUAUUAAAUUAUUUUAUUUUAAGUUUUGGCAGUUUUUUUUAUCGCCCUUUCUUACCCAAAGAGAAAUAAGUUGCAAGUUAUUUUAGCUUUGCACGUAAAAGAGUGAAACACCACAUGUAACUGACAGUUCACCUGUAAGUCUAUGUCGUUGUUUUUUGUUUGAAUUGUUUACGUGUUCGCUAUGCGUGGGAAAUGAUAAGACAAGCGGAACUACGUAGCUAAUAACUGUUGUAACGGGGAUCCUUAUUGUAGCAACACACUUUUGGAGGGAAGGCAAUCCCGCGCUCUGUUAGCUAAUUUUCCAUGUCAUUGGGUGUAGUUCAUAAAGGUUGAAGUGUGUAUGUUAGGAUGGUAACGUUAUAAUAAUUAAGGAUAAAGUGUGAAUUCAUGCCAGGAAUAAUAAGGGUGAAGUUUGAUUUCCUCCCUUCUGUAAUAAGCAGCAAAUUAGUUAUUUUUCCUUUAUUCAUGUGUUUAAUCUGAUACAGUUACAGCAUCGGCUAAAUUGUUUAUGUAUGUAAGCACUUCAGAGUUAUACCAAGCUAAUAAGUCACUCGUAAGAUAAGUUUGUAAGAGUGUGCAUAAAUGUAUUUUCAUUUAUUUUAUAGUUCUCGCGGAAGGUGAUAAUUCUGUCAAGGAACGGUUGUGCUCGUGGUUACUGGAGGGAGCUACACCACAACAGGAAUAAGGAUUGUGGAAAGUGUAACAUUUGUUAGGACUGUGCCAAUUCAGAUGCCUUGCUUUAGCCAUAUCACUGUUUCUCGUUUAGUCCAUCCAUAAAAGCAUAUCAGCUUUAGUUGUAUCCAGGAACUUGUAUAAUGUGCUUAUGUUAUGCUUAUACUUGCUUUUUUCCUUGAAAGUCGUUUUAAAAAAGGAAAUUGUAAUAGAUGUUUGUAGGACCUCUAUCAGUCAAUGAUAACAGUCAUUGGUGUCCCCCAGCCCAUCCCCUUUGUUGUGUGCCGAACAAUCUUGUCAUUCUUUUAAGUGUCAACCAUUCUUUUUGAAAUUUGUCUUCCUUUACGAAUGCACUGCAGAGGCUAAGAAGACGCAUGGAAACUCUAAAAGAAACAUAAUUCAACUUGUAGGCCAGAUUUGAAAAGGAAAUAAUAAAUCCCGAAGCUCAGAUGUCAGACACCGAGGCUGCCAGUACCUCUGGGUCGAUAGUCCAUGUGUUGGAUGAUGCACUGCUGUUGAUCAGAACAGACAGCGUAUAUUACAGUUGACCAAAGCUAUACUUGGAUACAAGACUGAUGACUCAAUAACCAGUAUUGACAACAGUGAAGAUGGUUAUGUCCCAGGGCCAUCAGGAUCAUCAGAGGAAGGCAAUUUCUAUGAACAAAAUCUGACCGGAGAGAUGUCAGCGAUUCGGGCCAAACAGCCAAUAACCAAGGGAAAGGUGGGACAAAAGAGGCUCAUACGUUAAGCAUGUUUCCUGCUUCCAUCAGUCAGUGCAUUUUCACUCUGUAGUCAAAUCAAAUGUUAUUGGUCACAUACACAUGGUUAGCAGAUGUUUAUGCUAGUGUAGCAAAACUUUUUCAGAAAGUAUGGUGCUAGAACACCAUUAAUCAUUUCUGUGCACUUUGUCCUGUGCAUUUUGAAGUGGGUAGCAGUAGUGGAGUCUGAGAAAGCAGCUCUACAUGUUUCUCCAAUGUGAUCACAUGCCAGCAUUAGCAAUAGCUAAUGCCAUGGUGGCCUCAGCCUUUUUUGCAGAGUACAUUUUUUAAACCAUAAAUGGCAGCUCGUUUUGGGUGGAACUGUUACAAGGCUAUGUAUGCCUUUUGAGUAUGUUUUUGAGUUGUGUUAGAUUUGCGUCAAUUCGAAUCUGGUAUCAGGAUAAAUAUGACAAUGAGUCACCGAUUGUAUACUAUGUUUCACCAUGUAUUUUUUUAUUAGCUAAGCAAUAAGUGGUAAAUGCAAUUUUCGUAUAUACGGGCUCUCUGUCCCACCUCGCAGGGCAAACAGAGAACUGACUUGUUCCUGACAAAGAUAUUAUAAUAUACCCUGAUGACAGUAGUAGUUCCUUCUUCCGAGCCGGCCUGUCAGAGUAGAGACUGGGCGUGGUUUAAACUCACCCAGCCUAUCGUUGAUUGUUGUCGUACGAGCUGGUACCAGCCCCCGGGCGCUCCAGUUGAUAGAUGUAACUUGCUGUGUCGAGUAUCUAUGCGCUCAUUUCCUAGAUACCGUUAUCACAUAUCUAUCUGGUUUCUGUUAUUGUUAAGUUUGAGUUCAAACAAAAACAGUCUGUGGUUUGCUACACUACGUUCUGUAUGUGUCUGUUUUUAUGUUAUUCUGUAUUUUUCCAUCAUGAGAAAGGCCCAUGGCCCUGAAACUGUUAGCUAUGUUGCAUAACACCUACAUACAUCCACACAAGCCAACAGCAGAUAAUAUUCAAUCACAUAUAUGGUGACGGGCUAUAGUGCAUAACACAGAAUCCUCAUUGUUGUCAUGUGUUUUUUUACAUCACUAAGUUUGGCGUAGAAAUCAGCGUUACAAUACAUGCAGAAUGCCCGUGUAUCAUCUCCAAUAAACGGCUUCAACCAGCCUUUGAAUUCAGGGUUUGAUUCCCACUCCUUUCUGUAUUUUUGAGUAGAGUUUAGACUGAGACAUGAAGCUAGAUGUUUAGCUUACGUCACAGAGAGGCACACACACAGUGGACAAGGUGAGUAAGUGACUGAGGCUGUGUGAGUCAAAUGCAGUGAUUUAUUUUAGACACAGAACCUUUUACAUUUAAUCAGCCAGCGGCAG